AAUAGAUACCCUGGUAGUCCAUGCCGUAAACGUUGGGCGCUAGGUGUGGGGACCUUCCACGGUCUCCGUGCCGCAGCUAACGCAUUAAGCGCCCCGCCUGGGGAGUACGGCCGCAAGGCUAAAACUCAAAGGAAUUGACGGGGGCCCGCACAAGCGGCGGAGCAUGCUGAUUAAUUCGAUGCAACGCGAAGAACCUUACCUGGGUUUGACAUAUACCGGAAGGCUGCAGAGAUGCAGCCCCCCUUGUGGUCGGUAUACAGGUGGUGCAUGGCUGUCAUCAGCUCGUGUCGUGAGAUGUUGGGUUAAGUCCCGCAACGAGCGCAACCCUCGUCCUAUGUUGCCAGCACGUAAUGGUGGGGACUCAUAGGAGACUGCCGGGGUCAACUCGGAGGAAGGUGGGGAUGACGUCAAGUCUUCAUGCCCCUUAUGUCCAGGGCUUCAAGCAUGCUACAAUGGCCGGUACAAAGGGCUGCGAAACCGCAAGGUGGAGCGAAUCCCAAAAAGCCGGUCUCAGUUCGGAUUGGGGU
rnacentral:rRNA from 1 species